AUUAACGCUGGCGGCGUGCCUAAUCCAUGCCAGUCGAGCGAACAGACGAGGAGCUUGCUCCUCUGACGUUAGCGGCGGACGGGUGAGUAACACGUGGAUAACCUACCUAUAAGACUGGGAUAACUUCGGGAAACCGGAGCUAAUACCGGAUAAUAUAUUGCACCGCAUGGUUCCAUAGUGAAAGACGGUUUUGCUGUCACUUAUAGAUGGAUCCGCGCCGCAUUAGCUAGUUGGUAAGGUAACGGCUUACCAAGGCAACGAUGCGUAGCCGACCUGAGAGGGUGAUCGGCCACACUGGAACUGAGACACGGUCCAGACUCCUACGGGAGGCAGCAGUAGGGAAUCUUCCGCAAUGGGCGAAAGCUUGACGGAGCAACGCCGCGUGAGUGAUGAAGGUCUUCGGAUCGUAAAACUCUGUUAUUAGGGAAGAACAAAUGUGUAAGUAACUAUGCACGUCUUGACGGUACCUAAUCAGAAAGCCACGGCUAACUACGUG
rnacentral:rRNA from 1 species